rnacentral:rRNA from 1 species
GUAUAAGCAAUUUAUACCGUGAAACUGCGAAUGGCUCAUUAAAUCAGUUAUCGUUUAUUUGAUAGUACCUUACUACUUGGAUAACCGUGGUAAUUCUAGAGCUAAUACAUGCUAAAAGCCCCGACUUCGGAAGGGGUGUAUUUAUUAGAUUAAAAACCAAUGCCCUUCGGGGCUCUUUGGUGAUUCAUGAUAACUUAACGAAUCGCAUGGCCUUGUGCCGGCGAUGGUUCAUUCAAAUUUCUGCCCUAUCAACUUUCGAUGGUAGUAUAUGGGACUACCAUGGUUUCAACGGGUAACGGGGAAUUAGGGUUCUAUUCCGGAGAGGGAGCCUGAGAAACGGCUACCACAUCCAAGGAAGGCAGCAGGCGCGCAAAUUACCCAAUCCCGACACGGGGAGGUAGUGACAAUAAAUACUGAUGCAGGGCUCUUUUGGGUCUUGUAAUUGGAAUGAGUACAAUUUAAAUCCCUUAACGAGGAACAAUUGGAGGGCAAGUCUGGUGCCAGCAGCCGCGGUAAUACCAGCUCCAAUAGCGUAUAUUAAAGUUGUUGCAGUUAAAAAGCUCGUAGUUGAACCUUGGGCCUGGCUGGCCGGUCCGCCUCACCGCGUGCACUGGUCCGGCCGGGUCUUUCCUCCUGGGGAGCCGCAUGCCCUUCACUGGGUGUGUCGGGGAACCAGGACUUUUACUUUGAAAAAAUUAGAGUGUUCAAAGCAGGCCUAUGCUCGAAUACAUUAGCAUGGAAUAAUAGAAUAGGACGUGUGGUUCUAUUUUGUUGGUUUCUCGGACCGCCGUAAUGAUUAAUAGGGAUGGUCGGGGGCAUCAGUAUUCAAUUGUCAGAGGUGAAAUUCUUGGAUUUAUUGAAGACUAACUACUGCGAAAGCAUUUGCCAAGGAUGUUUUCAUUAAUCAGGGAACGAAAGUUAGGGGAUCGAAGACGAUCAGAUACCGUCGUAGUCUUAACCAUAAACUAUGCCGACUAGGGAUCGGGCGAUGUUAUUUUUUUUUGACUCGCUCGGCACCUUACGAGAAAUCAAAGUCUUUGGGUCUGGGGAGU